rnacentral:rRNA from 1 species
AUCAUGGCUCAGGAUGAACGCUGGCGGCGUGCUUAAUACAUGCAAGUCGAACGAAGUUUCUCGCGAAGUUACUUCAUGAGAAACUAGUGGCGGACGGGUGAGUACGCGUGGGUAACCUGCCUUACACAGGGGGAUAACAGUUAGAAAUGACUGCUAAUACCGCAUAAGCGCACAGAAUCGCAUGAUUCAGUGUGAAAAGAUUUAUCGGUGUAAGAUGGACCCGCGUCUGAUUUAGCUAGUUGGUGAGGUAACGGCCCACCAAGGCGACGAUCAGUAGCCGGCCUGAGAGGGUGAACGGCCACAUUGGGACUGAGACACGGCCCAAACUCCUACGGGAGGCAGCAGUAGGGAAUAUUGGACAAUGGGGGAAACCCUGAUCCAAGCGACGCCGCGUGAGUGAAGAAGUAUUUCGGUACGUAAAGCUCUAUCAGCAGGGAAGAAAAUGACGGUACCUGACUAAGAAGCACCGGCUAAAUACGUGCCAGCAGCAGC